rfam:Triticum aestivum genome assembly, contig: Triticum_aestivum_CS42_TGACv1_scaffold_374233_5AL
CAACUACUCCCUCCGUCCGGAAUUACUUGUCAUCGAAAUGGAUGUAUCUAGAUGUGUUUUAGUUCUAGAUACAUCAAUUUUCAUCCAUUUCGAUGACAAGUAAUUCCGGACGGAGAGAGUUUGUG